rnacentral:tRNA from 1 species
UAGAUUGAAGCCCGCUGGYUUGGGUYUUUAGUUGUUAACUAAAUGUYUAUGGGAUCGAGGCCCGUUGAUCUAGG